GAUGAAGAACGUAGCGAAAUGCGAUAAGUAAUGUGAAUUGCAGAAUUCAGUGAAUCAUCGAAUCUUUGAACGCACCUUGCACCCUUUGGUAUUCCGAAGGGUAUGCUCGUUUGAGUGUCAUUGUACUCUCACACUUCUAAUUCCUUUCGGGAUUGAGAGCGGUGGACUUGGGUGUUGCUGCUUUAGUUGUGGCUCACCUCAAAUAAGUUAGUGCAACUCUUGGUUGGACAUAGUACGGCGUGAUAAGUGUCUUCGCCGGCGCCUCUGUAAGGAGGGUGGCCGAUCGGGAGCUCUGUGCUUCAAACCGUCUUCGGACAAUCUUUGACAACUUGACCUCAAAUCGAGUAGGACUACCCGCUGAACUUAAGCAUAUCAAUAAGCGGAGGA
rnacentral:misc_RNA from 1 species